CACAUGAUACUGUACAUGUCUGUAUGAGGGCUCUGCGAGCCAUUAUCCAACCAAAAAAAUACCCAGGUAUGUCUCGCGAGCCAUAGGUUCCCGACCCUUGCUGUGGGAGCACUGAAUGACGGAUGGAGAGCACAGCUUCCGGAUGAAUCCGCUGUGCAACUUUCCGGGAAGUUAUUGGAUGGCUCGACAAAGCAUGGGCUUCCGUGACAACCGAAACCAUCCUGUCCAGUAUUCAGAAAGGCUGGAAUAAGGUAGUUGCAACUGCAACCGACGAUGAGUCUGACAUAAGUGACGUAGAAGAGGAAGCGGCGCGUCGUAUACCUCUGGAGUUGGCGGACUUGUUUAGAAGUGACACUGAGGAUGAAGAUUUCAUUGGAUUUUUGUUACCAGUUUGCCUCCUCCUCCAUCCCCCACAUAGUCACAUAGUCGCCCAACGGCAAAGCAGAAACAGUCGAACAAAACAAGACUCUGCCAAUGUUCCAGUCUCCCCCCACAGUGGACGUGAGCCCCCAGGUGGCAAGCGCUGGGUUGGGCAGCAGCAGCGUGGAAGAGAACAAGGAGGUAGCAAGAGGUUGUCUGGCUGAAGUGCAUCGAGCCAGUCCCGCCGGCUACAA